ensembl:snRNA U6 U6 spliceosomal RNA
GCACUUAUUUUGGCAGCACAUAUGCUAAAAUUGGAACAAUACAAAGAAGAUUAGUAUGGCCCCUGCACAAGGAUGACAUGCAAAUUCAUGAAGCGUUCCAUAUUAAA